rnacentral:rRNA from 1 species
AGUGAACGCUGGCGGUAGGCCUAACACAUGCAAGUCGAACGGCAGCACAGUAAGAGCUUGCUCUUACGGGUGGCGAGUGGCGGACGGGGGAGGAAUACAUCGGAAUCUACUUUUUCGUGGGGGAUAACGUAGGGAAACUUACGCUAAUACCGCAUACGACCUACGGGUGAAAGCAGGGGAUCUUCGGACCUUGCGCGAUUGAAUGAGCCGAUGUCGGAUUAGCUAGUUGGCGGGGUAAAGGCCCACCAAGGCGACGAUCCGUAGCUGGUCUGAGAGGAUGAUCAGCCACACUGGAACUGAGACACGGUCCAGGCUCCUACGGGAGGCAGCAGUGGGGAAUAUUGGACAAUGGGCGCAAGCCUGAUCCAGCCCUACCGCGUGGGUGAAGAAGGCCUUCGGGUUGUAAAGCCCUUUUGUUGGGAAAGAAAAGCAGCAGGUUAAUACCCCGCUGUUCUGACGGUACCCAAAGAAUAAGCACCGGCUAACUUCGUG